AUUGAACGCUGGCGGCAGGCCUAACACAUGCAAGUCGAACGAGUGGCGGACGGGUGAGUAAUGUUUGGGAAACUGCCCGAUGGAGGGGGAUAACUACUGGAAACGGUAGCUAAUACCGCUUACUAUCUGUUGUGCCCAUAUGGGAUUAGCUAGCAGGCGGGGUAAAGGCUCACCUAGGCGACGAUCCCUAGCUGGUCUAAGAGGCUGACCAGCAACACUGAAACUAAGACACGGUCCAGGCUCCUACGGGUAGCAGCAAUGGGGGAUAUUGCACAAUGGGCGCAAGCCUGAUGCAGCCAUGCCGCGUGUAUGAAGAAGGCCAUCGGGUUGUAAAGUACAUUCAACGGGGAGGCGUUACCCGCAGAGAAAGCACCGGCUGACUCCGAACCAGCAGCCGCGGUAAUAC
rnacentral:rRNA from 1 species